AGAGUCUGAGGGCAGCUCACACCGAAGUCCCCUCUGCGCUGGCCAAGGGGAGCCCCGAGUCCCCAUUGCGCCGCGUGGAAGCUGGACCCACGCCCCGACCCCGCCCCAGGCCCCGCGCCGGCUCCAGACACCAGCUCCCAGCCACUCGCCGUCACGCCGUUUGACGGCGGCUUUGUCUGGGCUCGAGGUUUGCUAACCGGCCACCGUGACAGAAACUCAGGGAUUCCAGAUCGACAGCUUCUCCCAGGGCGGAAAUAUGAACAAAGUUUUAAGGGAAUUUGAUUGGAAACCAAAUCCUGCAAGAUCAGCGCAGGAGAGCAGGACACAUCGUGCGAGGACCUUUCGGCUGCCCUGGAGUCCCCUUGCAGAAGGGCGGGGUGUCGCGGCAAGGGUGUGACCUGUGAAGAGGCUUGUUUGCUCCUGUAAGAGACGAAAGGACCAUGGACACACACGCCUCGGAGACGAGAACAGGCUGGUGUCGGAGCCGGAGAUGGAGUGCGCGAGUGACAGCCGCUGUCUGGAGGACUGUGGUUCAUUUCUCCGCUCAUCUACUGAAGAGCAUAUUGGUGGCUUCUGUCCUGCGCAUUUUUGCUGGUGCAGGAAUCACGCGACGUGUAAAGUGGCCACAUUUGCAGAAAAGUCAGGAAGCCAGACAGAGCCCUCGGCAUGUCCCUGUGGACAGCGCACUAAGCACGGCAGCCUCGGCGGCACCCACUGUCCUCAGAGGCCCUGGACUCCUUUGGCCUCUGGUCCCCGCCGUGGAGCCCAGAGGCCGCAGGCAGGCCGAGCCGGCGUCCUUCUUUGUCGGGAACAUGGGAAGAAAGACCCAUUCGCCUGACGAAAGCCCACCAGGCCUAACCCACAAGCGUGACGCUCAGGGGGCCUCUGGCACCCCAGAGACACACAGAGCUGCUCUCUCACCCUCUCAGCCCACCUCAAACGGAGCAAGACACCUGUCAGCCCGGUGCCACCGUCUGCCACCCUUCCCCACACAAAGAACUGGUCCCCGCCCAGCUCUGACCGCUCGGGGGCCCCUCCCUCCCAGCAAGCCUCUCUGGGUGGGUGACAGCCAGGCUCUCCCACGGGGAUCCCUGCCGCGGGACGUCACAGAGGGGCCUGCUUCCUCCAACCAGCACCGUCCCCGGGGACCCCGUCUUUUUGUCACCUCCAGUCUCUAUCCACCCCAUCUCUAGGUCCACUGUCUCCCCUGGCUACUGGGAUUCUGUGGUUCCCAGAGGAGCAGUCCACAGAGGAGGCCACCAAUGGGCCCCUAGCACCACCCCCACCCCCACCCCCGUCCUCCCCGGGAAGCCGAUGUUGGUGAUGAGGGAGCCCCGGGCGGGUCCAGACCUGGUCAGAGCCCGGGCACAGCCCUGUCUUGUUAGGGGUGAAGGAGGGGUCUGCGCGCUUCCUCCCACGCUGGGAACGGAGGCGCAGGCUGCCUGAGAUGCUGGCGGCAGAGGCCAGGCCGACUUGGCUGGAAUUGCCCUCUGGUCCUCCCAGCCCUUCUCACAGCCUCUCUGGGCCUCAGUUUCUUUAUCGUAAAUCGGGGCUUAGGACAAGACCUUAGGACAGGGCGACUGUGGGGAUCGGGGCGACACAUGCGCGCGGGCGCUCAGCGCGGGGAGCGCGGAGGACGCACAGUCCUUGGGGGAGCAGGGUUCGGCCGCCAGGGGGUGCUGAUCCGCGGCUCACCGGAACCACAGCGGCUCGCUGGGUUUGACCUGCAUCCCACCUCUGGGUGGAUGCCGAGGCUACCCUGGCCACGCGCACGGACGCCGGCACCCUUCGUACCUGAACAGGGUGCAAAGCACAGAACCCGCCGCCCCGAGUGUCCGCCCGCGCAGAACCCUGAGUCUGCCGGCCGCGCAGGGGGUGGAAACCAGGUGCCAGAAACCGGGUGGCAGGGAGUUCCCGUCGUGGCGCAGUGGUUAACGAAUCCGACUAGGAACCAUGAGGUUGCGGGUUCCGUCCCUGCCCUUGCUCAGUGGGUUAACGAUCCGGCGUUGCCGUGAGCUGUGGUGUAGGUCGCAGACGCGGCUCGGAUCCCGCGUUGCUGUGGCUCUGGCGUAGGCCGGUGGCUACAGCUCCGAUUGGACCCCUAGCCUGGGAACCUCCAUAUGCCGCGGGAGCGGCCCAAGAA
rnacentral:lncRNA from 1 species